GAGACUUAGGCCCUUUCCCAUUCCUUUGCUCUAAAGAAAAUCUCAGCCCUAGCCCUCGCUGUUGCGCGUGCACGCACCGUGGAGCAAUGUCCCAAUACCACUUUAAGGUAGCUUUAAGGGGUAAGGGGGAGGGCUAACAUCCCCUCAAAAUUUAGAUUUUCGAUGGGCACCCUCAAAGCGAUUCAGUUCUGACUUGCUCCCACAAUACCUUGGGAGAAAACGGAAAAUCCAGAAAUAUCCUAGACAAGAUGGAGGACGAAAAGAUGCGACAGGAUUGGAAAAACACAAAUGACAUCGUUGAGUCCACUGCCACCAGCCCCCCCACCUCUCCCUCAUGCUCCUCCACCCCAGGCACCUCUUCCACCACCCCAGACACCCCUUCCAAGAGGAGAGUGCCAGGGAGCAGGCGAGGCAUGAGGAGAUCUGACCCAGAUGGCAGGAAUCCACCUCCUGCCUAGAGUUCCUCAUCUCUGGGGGAGAAAAAACGCCCAAAAAUAUUAUUUCUGCUUUAUGACAUAAAAAGUUCACCUCUCCUUCUGAGUGUUAUUAACAGAGACACUGCUAACUGAGUCGAGGAGCGAUAAAGGAAGUGACAGGAAAAAUCUGCAAACUUUACUUACUCAGCCCUUUCUUCGUUUUGCUUUCCUCGCUGUGUGUGGCGAGCAUGGGUGUGUGUGUGUGUGUGUUUGUGUGUGUGUUAGGGGACUGGACUAAUGCAUAUCCAUGUAUGUGUAUCCAUAACCAACGUGUGCAGAUCAAAUCAUUUAUGCCUUCUAUCAGUUUUUCAGACAUGUGGGACAUCACACAUGGAAGCAUCACAAACACUAAUGGUUUUUCACACGCUAGUGCAUGUUUUAAAAAUAUUUGAAUUAGAUCCUCCUUUUGAUUCUCACCCCCAUUAAGUAAUGGACCUUCGACUCCCAAUCAACGAUAACCAGCAGAACCACCAACCCAUUAAUGAUCUUUCUACCGUUCUCGCUUUGCAUUCUCUUCACUGCUUGAAUGUGUACCAGGGCUAUAUCGGGUGUUUAAUCCAUGUUCAAUUCAGUAAUACCCUUAGACUGACCAAUAUUUUCACAUAGAUCAUCAAGUUUUGUCUCUGUUUAUUUCUGAGAAAGUAGAGUAUGAAUCCAUUAUUCAGAUUAGUUUGACUGUGUUCAAU
ensembl:lncRNA